rnacentral:rRNA from 1 species
AUUGAACGCUGGCGGCAUGCCUUACACAUGCAAGUCGAACGGUAACAGGUCUUCGGAUGCUGACGAGUGGCGAACGGGUGAGUAAUACAUCGGAACGUGCCUAGUAGUGGGGGAUAACUACUCGAAAGAGUGGCUAAUACCGCAUGAGAUCUAUGGAUGAAAGCAGGGGAUCGCAAGACCUUGUGCUACUAGAGCGGCCGAUGGCAGAUUAGGUAGUUGGUGGGAUAAAAGCUUACCAGGCCGACGAUCUGUAGCUGGUCUGAGAGGACGAUCAGCCACACUGGGACUGAGAAACGGCCCAGACUCCUACGGGAGGCAGCAGUGGGGAAUUUUGGACAAUGGGCGCAAGCCUGAUCCAGCAAUGCCGCGUGCAGGAUGAAGGCCUUCGGGUUGUAAACUGCUUUUGUACGGAACGAAAAGCCCUGGGUUAAUACCCUGGGGUCAUGACGGUACCGUAAGAAUAAGCACCGGCUAACUACGUGCCAGCCGCCGCCGUAACAC